rnacentral:misc_RNA from 1 species
GAAGGAACGAUGGCGACCGCGGCUGCCGAGGCGGCGUGCGUCACGUGCAGCACGGCGCUGUGCUCCUCGUCCACACUGUCCGUCGAUCCUAUGAAGCGACGCUCGGGCAGCCAUCGUAUGGACAAGACGACACCCGCGUCGAGGUCCGAAGGGUCAGCGUGCACCGCCUCAUAUUCCGGCAGUGCUGUUCUCGCUGAGCACCACCGCACGCGCCCAAGUGUCCAUGGCUUCGGUCGUGGUGACUCUCGCGAAGCGAGAUGGACGCAUCGCCCCCGGCGCGCACUGCGGCUCACGAAGCGCGCAGCAGUGUGUGUGCUGUAUCUCCUGCUGCCGUUCCUGCUGUACCACUCAACGCCACCAUCAGCAUCGCAACGGCUGCCGCCAGCACGUGCUUCCAUCACCGCCGCCACCGCCUCCAUCUGUGCUCCGUUUCUCUUUGUGCGUGCGGUGGAGUACGACCUCACGUUGGCCUUCCAGACGAACGACUACGUCGAUAACGUGUGCGUGCCGAGCGCGACGGCCCCCGCGGCGGCCAUCGACCUGUCUGCCUGUCCGUACUACCCGCUGUGGUCGCUCCUGGCUGGGGUGAGCAGCUUCGGGGAAACAGCAAGAGUGGAUGGGGGUAACGUGGAUGCCGCGGCGGCGAGUCGUGCUGGUGCUCGGGGCGGUGUGGACAGCUCCACGAGACCCGUCGAGCGGCACGGCAGAGCGGCAGCGGCGGAGGCGGAGGCGGAGGCGCGCCGGCGUAUCCCAACGGCUACCUCAGCGGCGGCGCCGUCCGCUGCGAGUACCGCGUACGUAGUUCCAGGCGACCUCACCAGCACGCUUUCGGGCUCGCGCAACGCGCUCACCUAUUACUAUCAAGUGCUGAACACAGACGACUUCUUCUUCAUGUUGCAGGGGUGCACCAUCCAAAUCACCAUCGACGGAGACGUGCCGCCGUCCUACGCCUACAACUCCUUCCAACGAUACGCCGAUGCCUAUGCGUUGAACGUCUCUGCGACGGGCAAGGAUGGCAGCAUCAGUGGCGGCUCUGGGGGACGAGGCAGCCUUGCCUUCCCAGCUGGCACGAGAGCCAGCGACACUGAGGGUGACGGCGAUGAAGCGUACCCCAACAUCACGCUGCGGACGGCAUUUUUUUUUUGGAAUCAACCGCGGCUGCACUGCGCGUACAAUGCUCCGGCGCUGAUGUCGAUGAUGGUUGAUCUUGCUAACCAGCACCACCACCACCACCAGCAGCAGCAGCAGCAGCAGCAGCAGCGCCGUGCGUUCUUGAAGGACGACGCAGUCUUGGCAGAAGCCAGCGCACAGCCGGCAGACGGCGAGGUAGCUGCUGGCCGACCCGUGGCCUCCUCGGCUGGGCCCCUUUAUCCGUCCUGCGCCGCAAGCAUGCCCCCGCCGAAGAACAUCCUACCCGCUGGCGGCCGGAACACAACGCUCACGGUGAACUACAUGCAACUCGGCAGCUCCGUCGUCGUGAAGAUCUUCAGCUUCGAUGUGUGGUAUCAGCUCACGGGCACACCGGCUCCAGCGACUCUCUCGAAGGCGCGUACCACGACCACCGCAGCGCCCGCGUCGGCCGCGUACUCGGCAGUCUUCUCCAGCGGCCCGAUCACGAGAGGCCGCGGUUGCAGCACUGGUGUGUCCACCAAGAACCUGGCCGCUGGGCAGUCGUUAAAGUUACCGGCGGAUCCCGAGAAGGUGUGCACGGCGCCGGCGCUCUACACCAUCUCCCUGAACCCGCUGCUUGCGCGGGCCUCUUCCUGGAGCCUCGGCAGUUCCACGGACUGGCUACAGCCCUCCGUGAUGGUCACCCACGACUACCCGGCCGCCCGCGUCAUCGCGGUCGUCGCGCAGUGCUCUGGUGUGCCGCUUUCCUUCUCGGUGAAGGCGAACUUCCUGAACCCUGGCAACUACCCUGGCAGCGGUCAGCAUUACGCCACCUCCAUCAUACACUUGUUCUUCUUGGUGUGCUAUGCCCUCCUGCUCAUCGUGUUCCUGGUAAUGAUUGUACCCUGCAGCAAGCGGCGGCGGCGGCGGCGGCGGGGGCAGGGGCGGCAACGUCGUGGUGGCGGCGCUGAGGGGGGCGAAAGCAGCAGCAGCCCAGGUCAGGCAAGAUCAUCAGAUAAGAAGAAGCGGGCGAGCGCGGGAUCUGACGAGAGCAGGGGCGGCAGCAUGCGCGGGCGGCGGAGCGGCAGUGCCGCGGCGGGCGGGGACGGUGGCGAAGAAAUGCACGGGACGAGCGCCCCAAGCAGUACGACGACGAAAUAUGCAGCCGUGGCGGCAUCAUCGGGGCCCGAGAGUACGUCUGCGGCGGUGAAGAACACGACCACAGCGCAGCGAAGCCCAUCCUCGUCGUCGCCGACGUCCGCAGCAGCGGUGGCGGCCCGAACACGCGCGUCGACGCAGCGCGGCGCAACUGAAAGUGGCCAGGACAACGCCGAAGACGAGCCUCUUCACAGGGAGGAGGGCAAAAGCGGCAGACGGCAACACCGCGGCGGUGCCGGGUCGCGGCCGCAGCAGCAGCAGCAGGGCCAGCGGGUUGCGGAGAGACGCAAUGGCGGCAGCGAGGGCGACGACUCCCAGCCAGAGACCUCGUCCUUAUACACAGCGCACUCCAACGCGCACCUCACAUCGUCUUCGGGCAUCUACGACGAUAAUGACAUCAACUGCGGCAGCAGCGAUGCCGCAAGCGAGGUGCAGGCGAGGCGAGGCUCGAGCGGGCGUCGCCGUGCGCAGAGCCGUCGACGCGGCGGCCCCUCCACGCUCUCCCUCUCCACCAGCGGCGACGACUCGGAUUGCAGCAGCAGCAGCAGCACCACCACGACUGACAGCACAAGCGACGACGACGGCAGCCGCGCCGCCCGCCGACGGCGACGUCAGAAGGAGCAGCGACGCGCGAAGAGGGAGAGGCAGGAGCAGAAGAAGCAACGAUCCCGUCCACGCCAUCAUGUCUCGGCCACCUCGACCUCUCGCCGCUACGCCGCCAACGACCUAGACGACGACCGGAGAGGCUCGAGCACGGGCGUCGUCAGCGCCUUCGCUUCGCCGCUUCGGUGGCGUUUCAGGGCGGUGGGAAUGACCGAUGUCGUUGGCCACCAGGUCCUUGACCCGGUGCGACUUUGGUGGGCUGAGAGUCACAUCCUCGUUAUGUAUGCACCGAUCCAGUGGCUUGUCCUCGUCCUUCUCGUGCUCAGGUGCCUGUUGAGCGUCCUCUUAGCAGCGAAGUUCUUUCUGCUCUCUAGGGCGGUGCACCGCGACUCCUUGAUGGGCAACAGCCUGUCACUCGUCUGCAUUAUUUUCGAAGUCGCCACGGACACGCUGCUGAUCCCGAUAGAGAUGCUGGUGGCGAUGGGGUGGGGCCUGGCUUUCACGGCGCCACUGCCCACGAACCAAAUUGUUACUGUCGGCCUUGCCACGCUCACGAUGUUCAUCGUCUUUGUUUUCAGCGCCGCGUGUGCGAAGGAUGGUCUGAGCAUGGCGCUGACCGCGAAUCGGUAUGCGAGGCUCAUCAACGGCAACCUAUGCAACACGGUCGCAUACACCCGCGCCGCUUUCGAGAUGGUCUGCCGCGUCCACAACGUGCUUCGCAUGUUCCUCCUGUCGCUGUGGCUAUCGAAGACGGUGGUGCCGGCCGAUGCAGCGGCUGUGCAGCGGCAGCGCAGACUGAGUCACAGGCAGCUGCAAGGCGCACAAAAUGAGUGUCGUGAAGGACAAGGAAUGGCCGGGCCCGGCGAUAGCAGCAGUGAUGGGGUGUCGUGUAGGUCAGAUCUUCACCGCCGCACCUCGUCUGCGACCUCGUCCUCGUCAUCUGGUCAGUGCGAUGGUUCGUCUCUUGUGACCACCUUCACCACCACCGACACCACAACGCCGUCGUCGGCCCCGUUCGCCCUCCGGCCGCCGCCGCGCCUCGGCUACCCUGGCGUGUCCCUGUCGGCGAUGGAGGUGUAUCUUCGCUACCGUGGCAUGUGGGUGCCCUUCGCGAUGCUGCUGGUAUGGGCGGUUCUGCUGCUGGUCUUCGCCUUCACCUUCUACGAGCCGGAGGACUACUACAUGGUGGUAGCCUUUCGGGAGCUGCAGAGUGUGUAUCUCCUCGGCUUCAUCAUUCUCUUUUUGCGGACGUCAUCCCCUCUCUACUGCUGAAAAGAAGGAUGCCGACUCGCACCGGUGCCACGCACCGCACACCACAAAUCUAAGAGAGAGGGAUAGGGGGCAUCCGCUCGUCGUGGUGGUGCAUCAUCCCUGCUGCUGCAUAGCCGCCCGCCUCGCCCGCUCUUUGGAUUACGCCGCUCACUGUGUGAUAGUUUGUGAAGUUCUAAGCGAGUGAGCGAGUGUGUGUUGCGUGUGUGUGUGUGUGUGUGUGUUCGUGUGUGUGUGUGUUGGUCACGAAAGGCAAGGCCUAUUCGAGUGGGGGGAAACGCGCAGGCACACGCGUGCCGGCAUAGCAUACACGCUGUACCCCGCCGAGGCGUGUGCCAUCCCACCCCUCUCCCUUUCCGCGACGUCCGCGUGCGUUCGGCCCAGAAGAGAAUGGAAUCCGAUGAGGUGUUGGAGAGCAUACAGGCAGAACAACAACGAAAAGGACGAAGUGCAGUGAUGGGGCCGUGCGUUGCUGCAGCAGCACGAAGGGGGAGCUGCCUUGAGGCGAUGGCCUCCGCGAGCAAGCCGCCCCCUCUCUGUCUGCGUCUCUCUCGAAUCGAAAACGCACCCCGUCUUCACUUGGACGCAGCGCCGGUGAAUGUGGUCGAUGCGCGUGCGUGUGUCCGUCUCUCUGUGUGGUGCCGCUCGCACCCAUCAUGCGAAUGCAGCGAGAAGAGCUCUCACUCUUGCUCGCACCGAAGCGCGUCACCGGAACGCCCUCACACCUUCCUUCUCUGCCCUCUUCUUCGCCUCUGAUUGGUGUCGCGUGGAACCUGCGCUCGCUCCUCGCGUGCCUGGACUUUUCCUCGUCGUCACCAUACGACGCACACGCACACUCACACGCACACGCGCGCGUGUACAUGUAUAUAUAUAUAUAUAUACAUCUGUACGUCUCUCUACUGUACGGCAUCCGUGUGUGCCCUGCAG